rnacentral:rRNA from 1 species
GACGAACGCUGGCGGCGUGCCUAACACAUGCAAGUCGAACGAGAUCCAUGGGAGCUUGCUCCCGGAAGAUCUAGUGGCGAACGGGUGAGUAACACGUGAGAAACCUGCCCUGGAGUGGGGAAUAACUCGGGGGAAACUCGAGCUAAUACCGCAUACCCUCGGAUGGUCGCAUGGCCGACCGAGGAAAAGAUUUAUCGCUCUAGGAGGGUCUCGCGGCCUAUCAGCUAGUUGGUGGGGUAACGGCCUACCAAGGCAACGACGGGUAGCUGGUUUGAGAGAACGAUCAGCCACACUGGGACUGAGACACGGCCCAGACUCCUACGGGAGGCAGCAGUGGGGAAUCUUGCGCAAUGGGCGAAAGCCUGACGCAGCAACGCCGCGUGCGGGAUGA